AGCGAACGCUGGCGGCAGGCUUAACACAUGCAAGUCGAGCGGGCAUCCUUGUGGUGUCCGCGGCAGACGGGUGAGUAACGCGUGGGAACGUGCCCUUCGGUUCGGAAUAACUCAGGGAAACUUGAGCUAAUACCGGAUACGUGCGAGAGCAGAAAGGUUUAUCUGCCGAAGGAUCGGCCCGCGUCUGAUUAGCUAGUUGGUGAGGUUAUGGCUCACCAAGGCGACGAUCAGUAGCUGGUCUGAGAGGAUGAUCAGCCACACUGGGACUGAGACACGGCCCAGACUCCUACGGGAGGCAGCAGUGGGGAAUAUUGGGCAAUGGGGGCAACCCUGAUCCAGCCAUGCCGCGUGAGUGAUGACGGCCUUAGGGUUGUAAAGCUCUUUUCUCCGGGACGAUAAUGACGGUACCGGAGGAAUAAGCCCCGGCUAACUUCGUG
rnacentral:rRNA from 1 species